GAUGAACGCUGGCGGCGUGCCUAAUACAUGCGAGUCGAGCGAACAGACGAGGAGCUUGCUCCUCUGACGUUAGCGGCGGACGGGUGAGUAACACGUGGCUAACCUACCUAUAAGACCGGGAUAACUGCGGGAAUCCUGCGCUAAUCGCGGAUAAUAUAUUGAACCGCAUGGUUCAAUAGUGAAAGACGGUUUUGCUGUCACUUAUAGAUGGAUCCGCGCCGCAUUAGCUAGUUGGCAAGGUAACGGCUUACCAAGGCACCUAUGCGUGGCCGACCUGAGCGGGUGCACGGCCACACUGUACCUGAGACACGGUCCAGUCGCCUACGGGAGGCCGCAGUAGGGAAUCUUCCGCAGUAGGCGAAAGCCUGACGGAGUAGCGCCGCGUGAGUUGUGACGGUCUUCGGAUCGUAAAACUCUGUUAUUAGGGAAGAACAUAUUUGUAAGUUGCUAUGCACGUCUUGACGGUACCUAAUCAGAAAGCCACGGCUAACUACGUG
rnacentral:rRNA from 1 species